AGUUGCCAGACCUGGGGUCACUGCAACCAAUUCCAGCUCUAGUCACUUGGCGGUGGCCCAGGUGUUUGGGGUAAAGGUGGGGCCUAGGCUGGCAGCUCAGCGACACCACCACUGCCGUGACCUGGACAAGCCCCUGGAAUGCUGUGCCUCAGUUUCCCUCCCUGUAGAACAAGGACGAUCGUGACCAUCCCUUUGUCAGGGUGAAGGCUCACAGUUCAAUCUCGUCUGGAACCGCAGGCUGGGGAACCUCAGAGACCACUGGGCUGGAGGGGUCAAAGCUAAGAACCCACCCUGGAAAAUACACAGGCAGUUUUGUCUGUGAUAUUCGGGGGCUCAUCAGACCUCCCCGAGGACCAUCCCGGGACACUAAGACUCUACUUUACAGAAGGGCAACAAAUCUGUGCAGGAUGUUGUGGACAGGAAACCGAGGCCCAAAGCCAUCCACUGAAUUGCCAUGAGCCAGAAAGGGCAGGGCCAGAAAGGGCAAGGGCCCAGAGGGACAGCAGCCCCCAGAGGCGAGGGUAAAUUGAGGCUCCGAGUGGCUGAUCACACAGGUGCAUGGUGAGGCUGUGAGGCCUGCCAUCUGAGGUGCCCACUGUGUGCCGUCGGAAGGGGGGCCCAGCAGUGCCCUCGGGC
rnacentral:lncRNA from 1 species